AGCCCGGCCCCGUCCCGCCCCCGUGGCCGCGCUCCGGCUGUGGCGGCGCGGCCAUGUCGGGCGGGCGGACGUCGGUCUGGCUGUGGCGGCUCUGCAACCUCCUCAUGGCUGCGUUCUUCGGGCUGGCGGCCGCCGUGCAGGUGAAUGACCCCGACGCCGGGCUCUGGACGGUUGUCUACUUAGUGCCUGCUGCUCUGACACUGCUUGUCAGCAUGAAGCCCUCAAUAACAGGUAUGGUCCUGCUG